UAAAUAAAUAAAUAAAUAAAAGGGUUGGAGCCAUGGGCUCCACGUGGCCCAAAUUCCUCCCCCCAUUUCCACCGCCUUCCAUUUCAUCUCACUUGUUCUUUCUUUAUUUUAUUUUUCUUUAUUCUCUGCUCUGUUUUGAGCUGGGAAAGUCGAAGGGGAACAGAGCACGAGAGAGAGAGAGAGAGAGAGACUAUGAAACCGAGAUAGAGCAAAGGGAAUCGAAAGAAGAUGGAGUAAAACAAAGGCAGAACGUGAGCUCGAUGGAGAGCCCGGGUUGGGGUUUAUGGAAGAAAAGGGGGGUUCUGGGUGGAGCAAAGAACACGGAGGAGGAGCUGAAUUUUCAGGGAUUAUGGAGACUAAGCUUUGCGUCUCGAAGAAUCGACUCGAAAUAUUUUUGGGCAUUCUGUGAGUACUUCAUUUCACUAUGAAAUGAUAUAUAUAUAUAUAGAUAUAUUUUAUGUGAGUACCAUAUUUCCUUGUGAAAUGAUGUAAUAUAGUUAUAUAAAUUAUUUAAGAAGAAUAUUGUGAUAGUUAGAGAUUAAGAAAUCGGUCUUGCUAUGUUGUGCGAAAUGAUUUGAGAGAUAUUGCCUUCUUAUGUUUCAUGUUGAUAUGAGACAUGAGAUGAUAAUAUUCUGCAAUGAUAAUGUGAUUGGGAUUA